AGUGAACGCUGGCGGCGUGCUUAACACAUGCAAGUCGAACGAGAACGGAUUAUAGCUUGCUAUAAUUGUCAGCUAAGUGGCGCACGGGUGAGUAAUGUAUAGGUAAUAUGCCUCUUACUAAGGGAUAACAAAUGGAAACGUUUGCUAAUACCUUAUACUCCUUAUUAACAGAAGUUAAUAAGGGAAAGAUUUAUUGGUAAGAGAUUAGCCUGUAUUGUAUCAGUUAGUUGGUGGGGUAAUGGCUUACCAAGACUAUGACACAUAACUGGUUUGAGAGGAUGAUCAGUCACACUGGAACUGAGACACGGUCCAGACUCCUACGGGAGGCAGCAGUGGGGAAUAUUGCACAAUGGACGAAAGUCUGAUGCAGCAACGCCGCGUGGAGGAUGACACAUUUCGGUGCGUAAACUCCUUUUAUAUGAGAAGAUAAUGACGGUAUUUAUGAAUAAGCACCGGCUAACUCCGUGCCAGCCGCCGCAGUAA
rnacentral:rRNA from 1 species